UACGUAGGGGGCAAGCGUUGUCCGGAAUCAUUGGGCGUAAAGCGCGUGUAGGCGGUCCGGUAAGUCGGCUGUGAAAGUCCAGGGCUCAACCCUGGGAUGCCGGUCGAUACUGCCGGACUAGAGUUCGGAAGAGGCGAGUGGAAUUCCCGGUGUAGCGGUGAAAUGCGCAGAUAUCGGGAGGAACACCAAUGGCGAAGGCAGCUCGCUGGGACGUUACUGACGCUGAGACGCGAAAGCGUGGGAGCAAACAGG
rnacentral:rRNA from 1 species